rnacentral:rRNA from 1 species
GAAUCUACNACGCUCGNUAAUGUCAUCUAACAUGGUNCGUUGAUCUAUGGAUCUCACAUCUGANCACGCUCGUNUUGUCACAGCCUAACACAUGCAAGUCGAGCGGAUGACGGGAGCUUGCUCCUUGAUUCAGCGGCGGACGGGUGAGUAAUGCCUAGGAAUCUGCCUGGUAGUGGGGGACAACGUUUCGAAAUGGAACGCUAAUACCGCAUACGUCCUACGGGAGAAAGCAGUGGUGACCUUCGGGCCUUGCGCUAUCAGAUGAGCCUAGUGUCGGAUUAGCUAGUUGGUGAGGUAAUGGCUCACCAAGGCGACGAUCCGUAACUGGUCUGAGAGGAUGAUCAGUCACACUGGAACUGAGACACGGUCCAGACUCCUACGGGAGGCAGCAGUGGGGAAUAUUUGGACAAUUGGGCGAAAGCCUGAUCCAGCCAUGCCGCGUGUGUGAAGAAGGUCUUCGGAUUGUAAAGCACUUUAAGUUGGGAGGAAGGGCAGUAAGUUAAUACCUUGCUUGUUUUGACGUUAACCGACAGAAU